UAGCAUUUCAGGAUUUCAUUAUAAGAGAGGCAGAAAAAGUGUGUAUUAAGAAAAUAAGUCAUCAAUACUGGUUCUGUGGAGCCCUAAGCUAAAGUUUGUUAUUAAAAAAUAAAUAUUCAAGUGGAAAACAUGUAUGAUUCACAAAGGAAUAAAACAG
rnacentral:lncRNA from 14 species